GAACAUCACAAACGUUUCGGGUAUUCCCUUUCUCAAUGCAUCAUGUCCCCCAUUGAGAAAGGGAAUACUGGAAACGUUUGUGAUACUC